AUUCUUGCAAGACGCAGAUUAACGCCAUGGGGUAGUAUCAGUUCUUAUCAGUUUAAUAUCUCAUAUAUGGGACAUUGGUCCGCACGCUAUUAACUCAAUUAUUUUGACGGGGGAAGGCUCAUCAAAGUAGCUUGCUACUUGGGCUUUUCUGCGUCGCCUAGGUGUUGCACUACUGCUCAGGCCUGACAUACCCCAC
rfam:Capsicum annuum cultivar Zunla-1 chromosome 4, whole genome shotgun sequence